rnacentral:rRNA from 1 species
UGGGGAAUAUUGCACAAUGGGCGCAAGCCUGAUGCAGCAACGCCGCGUGAACGAUGAAGGUCUUCGGAUCGUAAAGUUCUGUUGCAGGGGAAGAUAAUGACGGUACCCUGUGAGGAAGCCCCGGCUAACUACGUGCCAGCAGCCGCGGUAAUACGUAGGGGGCUAGCGUUAUCCGGAUUUACUGGGCGUAAAGGGUGCGUAGGUGGUCUUUCAAGUCGGUGGUUAAAGGCUACGGCUCAACCGUAGUUAGCCUCCGAAACUGGAAGACUUGAGUGCAAGAGAGGAAAGUUGAAUUCCCAGUGUAGCGGUGAAAUGCGUAGAUAUUGGGAGGAACACCAGUAGCGAAGGCGGCUUUCUGGACUGCAACUGACACUGAGGCACGAAAACGUAGGUAGCAAACAGG